UUCUCGAUCUGUAGACCGAUCUAG
rnacentral:miRNA from 1 species